rnacentral:SRP_RNA from 1 species
GGUCGGGCCCCGUGCGGUGAGAGCUUGCGAACCGCGUCAGAUCCGGGAGGAAGCAGCGCUAAGCAAUCCCUCUCAGGCGCGCGGUGCGCCCGGCCCUU